rnacentral:rRNA from 1 species
AAUAGAUACCCAGGUAGUCCACGCCCUAAACUAUGUCAACUAGUUGUCGGGGAAGAAAUUCCUUGGUAACGCAGCUAACGCGUGAAGUUGACCGCCUGGGGAGUACGGCCGCAAGGUUAAAACUCAAAGGAAUUGACGGGGACCCGCACAAGCGGUGGAUUAUGUGGAUUAAUUCGAUGCAACGCGAAAAACCUUACCUACCCUUGACAUGUACGGAAUUCCGCAGAGAUGUGGAAGUGCCCGAAAGGGAACCGUAACACAGGUGCUGCAUGGCUGUCGUCAGCUCGUGUCGUGAGAUGUUGGGUUAAGUCCCGCAACGAGCGCAACCCUUGCCAUUAGUUGCUACAUUCAGUUGGGCACUCUAAUGGGACCGCCGGUGACAAACCGGAGGAAGGUGGGGAUGACGUCAAGUCCUCAUGGCCCUUAUGGGUAGGGCUUCACACGUAAUACAAUGGUCGGUACAGAGGGCUGCCAACCCGCAAGGGGGAGCUAAUCCCAGAAAGCCGAUCGUAGUCUGGAUUGUAGUCUGCAACUCGACUGCAUGAAGGCC